CAGUGUUCUGUCUACAUGUCAGAAGACGGCGCCAAGAUCCCAUUACAGAUGGUUGUGAGCUGCCAUGUGGUUGCUGGGAAUUGAACUCAGGACCCCUGGAAGCACAAUGAACAGAAGUGACAAGGUGCCAAAGGCCUGAACCAUGGAGGUUCCUUAAGGUUUGACUGCUGGUAAAGGACACUGAGAAAAUCAACUUUACAUCAUGUGAAAGGACAUGGGCUAUGUGCAGGCUCUUAUCCUGUGAAAAGCAUCAUGGAGAUGUUGAGCAGGUGCGGCUGACAGAGCUCAACACAGCACAGGAACACAUCACUACACCACUGCACACUGCAGUGCCUGGAGAAAGCCCUGGAGUAAGCUCAACAGGGAGAUUCAACAAUAAUAUUGGCCAAAUUCUCCUACAACGCCAAGUUUUAUAAAAUUAUUAAGGAUACAAGAACUUAAAAAAAUCACUUUGCCAAGAAGCCCUUUAUCUUUGGACAAGAAGCCACCACUGUUCUUCACUGCCACAUCCAGUGUUCUCCUUUGCACCUCAGGCAGCGAAACACUGAAGUCGAAGCUGAAAUGGAAACAACACCUCAGGUCAGCUCCUGAUGAUCCUGCUAUAUUUUCUUCUAACUAAAAACACUUGUUUCUGAGCUCACUCCAAGCACUGCUUUCUUCCUGUUGACUUUCUGGUGCUUGCUUCCCCAGCUGACCAUAGUUUACAUAAAAUUACUGCAUGAAAACAGUGAGGGAGGUGCCUCUGAUGAGAGACAGAGCUGGGCCAGUGGGUUCUGAUGCUAUCCAGCUGCAUUACUUUUCUCAAAACUAGCAGAUGCUACACUGCCAGAGAACUAUGAGGUGGGCAGUUUGUAUAGACUGGUGACCCAAGGAUCUCUGGAUGACCACAAGCAACUCAGCCAUCAGACUGACCAUGAACACAAAAAGGCAGCUUCUAUUCAGGUGCCUGUUAUGAUGUGCAAAAAAUUACAUCUCCACUAAUUUUUGAAAUUGUUUUAGGAAAAAAAAGUUUUCUCAAAAAUGUGUAUUUUAUAUUACUAGCUUAUAUUACAAAAUAAAAAAAUUAAAUGUG